AUGCAGGUGGUUUGUUAAGUCAGAUGUGAAAGCCCGGGGCUCAACCUCGGAAUUGCAUUUGAAACUGGCAAACUAGAGUACUGUAGGAGGGGGUAGAAUUUCAGGUGUAGCGGUGAAAUGCGUAGAGAUCUGAAGGAAUACCGGUGGCGAAGGCAGCCCCCCUGGACAGAUACUGACACUCCAGAUGCGAAAGCGUGGGGAGCAAACAGGAUUACGAUACCCUGGUAG
rnacentral:rRNA from 1 species